UGGGGAAUCUUCCGCAAUGGACGAAAGUCUGACGGAGCAACGCCGCGUGAGCGAUGACGGCCUUCGGGUUGUAAAGCUCUGUUAAUCGGGACGAAAGGCCUUCUUGCGAAUAGUGAGAAGGAUUGACGGUACCGGAAUAGAAAGCCACGGCUAACUACGUGCCAGCAGCCGCGGUAAUACGUAGGUGGCAAGCGUUGUCCGGAAUUAUUGGGCGUAAAGCGCGCGCAGGCGGAUAGGUCAGUCUGUCUUAAAAGUUCGGGGCUUAACCCCGUGAUGGGAUGGAAACUGCCAAUCUAGAGUAUCGGAGAGGAAAGUGGAAUUCCUAGUGUAGCGGUGAAAUGCGUAGAUAUUAGGAAGAACACCAGUGGCGAAGGCGACUUUCUGGACGAAAACUGACGCUGAGGCGCGAAAGCCAGGGGAGCGAACGGG
rnacentral:rRNA from 1 species